CCCAGACUCCUACGGGAGGCAGCAGUGGGGAAUAUUGCACAAUGGGGGAAACCCUGAUGCAGCGACGCCGCGUGGGUGAGGAAGUAUUUCGGUAUGUAAAGCCCUAUCAGCAGGGAGGAAGAUGACAGUACCUGACUAAGAAGCCCCGGCUAACUACGUGCCAGCAGCCGCGGUAAUACGUAGGGGGCAAGCGUUAUCCGGAUUUACUGGGUGUAAAGGGAGCGUAGACGGCUGUGCAAGCCAGAUGUGAAAGCCCGGGGCUCAACCCCGGGACUGCAUUUGGAACUGCGUGGCUUGAGUGUCGGAGAGGCAGGCGGAAUUCCUAGUGUAGCGGUGAAAUGCGUAGAUAUUAGGAGGAACACCAGUGGCGAAGGCGGCCUGCUGGACGAUGACUGACGUUGAGGCUCGAAAGCGUGGGGAGCAAACAGGAUUAGAUACCCCUGUAGA
rnacentral:rRNA from 1 species